rnacentral:lncRNA from 1 species
GGUUGCCUCCUCCGCUGCUGACCUUGGGGAAGUAUCCGUUUUAUUUUCAGCCCAACAUAACAGCGUUAUCAUUUUAAAACAAAGAUUUCUAAGUACGCUGUAAGGAUUUCUUCCCUAGCAAUCGUGAAGAAAAUCAGUCUACAUUUAAAUUUUAUCUACUGAAGUAUGGCUCACGAUUCUUUCAUUUACUUGGUUCGGCAUCGCUGCUUAUUAGUCUCGGUGAUCAGAGUAAAAAUCAAAGUGACUUACUGAUUGAAUUAGCCCCUCGAUGUAUAAAAAGUUCUCCGUAAAUCCAUAAAUGGAAGUUGGAGUUUUUACUGAUUUCAUACUUGAAGGAUUGUGAGACUUUGGGAUCAGAACAUUGUGCCUGGUUACUUGAGGAGGCGGCAAGCCGGCUUGCGUCUCAAAGGGAGAAAGUGAAACAGCUCUGCAACAUAGAGUAUUUUGUUAGCUGCGCGUAAAUAGAAAUUUUUCGCGAUCUCCCCGCACUGCUCAACCACAAAAAAGAAUUGUGGCCAUAAUUUAUCAAGCAUUUAUGUUCCAGGAACUGUUCUUUACAUAGAUUGUCUCACUUUAACCUCACAACAACCCUUACGAAUAGGUACUAAGAAAAAUAGAUCAGACCUCAGCUCUGCGAAGUAGGCAGGCUGUCAUUCUCUUCCUUUCACUACUAAUGCCUGGGGCAAUUGUUUAAAGGCAUUUUGUUCCUGAUUAGCUGCCUACGCAUUAUCUUUAAGUUUCUGAAAUUUAAGAUACAAAGAACAAUGUAUAGCUAGUCAAGAGCCCACGAUAUUUUAAUGUAAAUUGGUAAACAAUUUAGGAGCUGCCUCUUUUCCUUUAAAAACCUACUUGUAACUUGCUAAUCCGAGUGUAUAUUCAGGGCAGCUUGAAUCUAUGGUCCUGGGUUGCAGUCCUCAAGCUUGGCCUGAUUUUGCCUCAGCUUCUUUUUGGAGGGACAGUACUGUAUUUUAUUCCCAUUUUACAGCUGGGGAAACAGGCUUAGAAAGGCUAAAGGACUUGUCAAAGAUCAAACGGUAAGUUAACAUCAGAAUUUGAUCUCCAGUCCAGGUACUGCAAGACAAAAGUUUUAAUUUUUUUUUUUUUUUUUUUGAGACGGCGUGUCACUCUGUGGCCAGGCUGCAGUGCAGUGGCGCCAUCUCGGCUUACUGCAACCUCCGUCUCCCUGGUUCAAGAGAUUCUCCUGCCUCAGCCUCCCUAGUAGCUGGGAUUACAGGCACCCGCCACGCCCAGCUAAUUUCUGUAUUUUUUAGUAGAGACGGGGUUUCACCUUGUUGGCCAGGAUGGUCUUGAUCUCCUGACCUCGUGAUCCGCCUGCCUCGGCCUUCCAAAGUGCUGGGAUUACAGGCGUGAGCCACCGCGUCCAGCCCUGCCACACUAGAUUCUACAUUAUUAGAAGACCACAGUAAUCUUACACUUCUGUAUCCUCACCGCCUCUACAAUAGUUUUCAGCUUUGGAGUAGUAAGCAAUUAGUAAGCAAUGAAACGUUUUAUGAUUGAUGGCAAAGUUGGACAGAUUGCAUAUCCAGAAAAAUGCUUCCCAAUCACUUUAUAAACUUUUUUUUUUUUUUAGACGGGGUUUCUUUCUGACACUCAGAUUGGAGUGCAAUGGCAUGAUCUCGGAUUACAGCAACAGCCGCCUCCCAGGCUCAAGAGAUCCUCCAACCCCAGCCCCCCACGCCCC